rnacentral:rRNA from 1 species
UGAUUUUAGUGCUUGCACUAAUGAGACUAUAUACUAGCAAGCGGCGGACGGCUGAGUACACGUGGGUAACCUGCCCAAGAGACUGGGAUAACACCUGGAAACAGAUGCUAAUACCGGAUAACAACACUAGACGCAUGUCUAGAGUUUGAAAGAUGGUUCUGCUAUCACUCUUGGAUGGACCUGCGGUGCAUUAACUAGUUGGUAAGGUAACGGCUUACCAAGGCAAUGAUGCAUACCCGAGUUGAGAGACUGAUCGGCCACAUUGGGACUGACACACGCCCCAAACUCCUACGGGAGGCAGCAGUAGGGAAUCUUCCACAAUGGACGAGAGUCUGAUGGAGCAACGCCGCGUGAGUGAAGAAAGGUUUCGGCUCGUACAGCUCUGUUGGUAGUGAAGAAAGAUAGAGGUAGUAACUGGCCUUUAUUUGACGGUAAUUACUUAGAAAGUCACGGCUAACUACGUGCCAGCAGCCGCGGUAAUACGUACGUGGCAAGCGUUGUCCGGGAUUUAUUGGGCCGUACAGCGAGCUGCACGCGGUUUCGAUGAGUCUUGAUGUGAGAAGCCUUCGUGCUCAACCGAGAGAAUUGCAUCAGUAAACUGUUCGAACUUGAAUUGCAUGAAGAAGGAAAGAGGAACUCCAUGGGUUAGCCGGU